ensembl:lncRNA
UGUGCCAUCUUCAUAAAUCUACAAUACAGAUGGAUCUCCAUUGUGAUGUGAUAACUGUGGCCAGGGGCAGACUGUGGCCAUGGGCAGACUGUGGGCAGGGGCAGACUGUGGGCAGGGGCAGACUGUGGCCAGGGGCAGACUGUGGGCAGGGCAGACUGUGGGCAGGGGCAGACUGUGGCCAGGGGCAGACUGUGGCCAGGGGCAGACUGCGGACAGGGCAGACUGUGGACAGGGGCAGACUGUGGCCAGGGCAGACUGUGGACAGGGCAGACUGUGGACAGGGCAGACUGUGGACAGGGGCAGACUGUUGCCAGGGCAGACUGUGGUCAGGGCAGACUGUGGACAGGGGAAGACUGUGGCCAGGGGAAGACUGUGGCCAGGGGCAGACUGUGGACAGGACUGUUUGGUAUGGAGAGAGGUUUGGUAUGGAGAGAGGUUUGGUAUGGAGAGAGGUUUGGUAUGGAGAGAGGUUUGGUAUGGAGAGAGGUUUGGUAUGGAGAGAGGUUUGGUAUGGAGAGAGGUUUGGUAUGGAGAGAGUGUGUUUGUGUUUGGUAUGGAGAGAGGUUUGGUAUGGAGAGAGAGAGUGUGUUUGUGUUUGGUAUGGAGAGAGUGUGUGUGUUUUGUACGGAGAGAGGUCUGGUAUGGAGAGAGUGUGUGUGUUUUGUAUGGAGAGAGGUUUGUAUGGAGAGAGAG